rnacentral:rRNA from 1 species
UACGGGGGGGGCAAGCGUUGUUCGGAAUUACUGGGCGUAAAGGGCUCGUAGGCGGCCAACUAAGUCGGACGUGAAAUCCCCAGGCUCAACCUGGGAACUGCGUCCGAUACUGGAUGGCUUGAAUCCGGGAGAGGGAUGCAGAAUUCCAGGUGUAGCGGUGAAAUGCGUAGAUAUCUGGAGGAAUACCGGUGGCGAAGGCAGCUCGCUGGGACGGUAUUGACGCUAAGGCGCGAAAGCGUGGGGAGCAAACAGG